GACGAACGCUGGCGGCAGGCUUAACACAUGCAAGUCGAGCGGGCGUAGCAAUACGUCAGCGGCAGACGGGUGAGUAACGCGUGGGAACGUACCUUUUGGUUCGGAACAACACAGGGAAACUUGUGCUAAUACCGGAUAAGCCCUUACGGGGAAAGAUUUAUCGCCGAAAGAUCGGCCCGCGUCUGAUUAGCUAGUUGGUGAGGUAACGGCUCACCAAGGCGACGAUCAGUAGCUGGUCUGAGAGGAUGAUCAGCCACAUUGGGACUGAGACACGGCCCAAACUCCUACGGGAGGCAGCAGUGGGGAAUAUUGGACAAUGGGGGCAACCCUGAUCCAGCCAUGCCGCGUGAGUGAUGAAGGCCCUAGGGUUGUAAAGCUCUUUUGUGCGGGAAGAUAAUGACGGUACCGCAAGAAUAAGCCCCGGCUAACUUCGUG
rnacentral:rRNA from 1 species